UGGGGAAUAUUGCACAAUGGGCGCAAGCCUGAUGCAGCCAUGCCGCGUGUAUGAAGAAGGCCUUCGGGUUGUAAAGUACUUUCAGAGGGGAGGAAGGCGAUGUGGUUAAUAACCGCGUCGAUUGACGUUACCCGCAGAAGAAGCACCGGCUAACUCCGUGCCAGCAGCCGCGGUAAUACGGAGGGUGCAAGCGUUAAUCGGAAUUACUGGGCGUAAAGCGCACGCAGGCGGUCUGUCAAGUCGGAUGUGAAAUCCCCGGGCUCAACCUGGGAACUGCAUUCGAAACUGGCAGGCUAGAGUCUUGUAGAGGAGGGUAGAAUUCCAGGUGUAGCGGUGAAAUGCGUAGAGAUCUGGAGGAAUACCGGUGGCGAAGGCGGCCCCCUGGACAAAGACUGACGCUCAGGUGCGAAAGCGUGGGGAGCAAACA
rnacentral:rRNA from 1 species